ACCUUGAAGGGAGCUGGUUCCUGAUUGCCUCUCCUAAGAGUUGCCCCAGUGCACCCAAUAAUUGUCAUCUUCACUCUCUUUUCUCCAGCCCCACCCUAUGGGCCUCCCAGAGCCAGCCAGUAGAACUGGGAAAAGGAUCCGAGCCAUCUUUGCAAAAUGAGGUCAGACCGGGCGUGGCCAUUCCUUACCCCAGAGGAAACGGUUUGAGUAGGAGACACCCCUCUCCCCCAAAGAAUUGGCUAACAAAAUGUUUUGUGCUAAAGGGUGCCAAGUGAGGAUCCGAUCUGGGUUAAUGCUACUAGGAGAUACUGUAAUACGACAAAUAAUAAAUACAAGAUCUGGCAUCCCACUGCAAGGCCAGGGCAUCCACAAUCAAAUGGAUCAGCAAAAGAGAAAUGGUGCUGAGCACCUUUCAGGUCCAGACACAGCACUUGGAAAGAGCAGAUGUCACCAAACACAGGAGCUGAGGCACCCUUAUUGGGCUGAGCCCUUGGAGUUGAGCUGGGCAGACGGUACAGCUCCUGGGCUUUCUGACUGCUUCGAUAAAACAACCCACUGAACCGAUGCAGGAGUGACUUUAUCGUAUAAUGGGGUGACUUGCUGGAGUUUGGGAUGUAGGUCAUCCCCUGGAAAAGUUGGCCCCUCUUUCCAGCAACCCCCAAGAUACAAAGACAGUAACCCCUAAAUAACAGUUUGGCUCAUUGUUGUGUGAAUGGAGUGAUGGUGAAAAAUGCUGGGCUGACGGACGUGGAAAAUAAAACCCUUUUUAACCCAUAGCAUGAGCAAUGCCAAUACGAGCUCCUUUGUAAACCCCAGCUGAGGGCCUGGUGGUAUUCCUGAUGGUCCAGCACUUCAGUCGCCAGCCCGCAACCCAGCCAUGGCUUCUGUGAUGAGACCAGGUGCCAGUUUCCAGGGGAGCUUUUGUGGUGUGAACAUGUUUGCUGGGAUCGGUGCUGAAAUGAUCAUUGAUUUCCUGGUACGUUGCUCACCACGUGCCCUCUUAGGUGUUUCUCCCUGUUUGCAGAUGGACUUCUUCUUUCGGCCGGCUAGUGUAGAGCAGCAACUACAAUUUCACCUGACGUUGAUGGAGUCCAAUGGCUCCCCCUGAAGUGGCAGAAUUCAUGGCAGUGAUGCCUCCUUCAAACUUAUAAAUUGGGCAGCGGCUGGUGUGAUUUGUUUGAUGGCCCGUCGGGGGAGUCACACUUGUACCCCAGGGAGUGCUUCAUAUUCCGUUGGUGCAUUCGAUGUCUGCAUCUACCAUGGUUGGUUUGGAUUCAGUUCAGAGUUGACCAAGAUGUCCAGGGAAAAUCGAACCCCCUGCAUGGGAUCUGGCACAAGGUUCUCCAAGCCGUAGCAAAAGGAGGGAGCUGUUUUGCAAUGUUCCCAGUCAUAAUGCCAUUGGAAGGCAGUUCUGGCUGGCACUGCAAGAAGAAAAUCCUCACUUAAAGUGCAAUUUGGCAUAAGCGACACUGCCCAGCUCGGAUAGUAUGACUCUGCCACUGAGAUACUAUUACAGCAGUGUCUGAGGUGCAAAUUCAAGUCGUCGUUCAUUGGAAUUCAAGUCGUCAAAGGGAAUUUUCCUGCUUCAGCCUCGUUUCUAAUCUAAAAUGAAGCUCCAGCCUCAAUGUAGCCAUGAAGACAACACGUCUGUCACUCAGAGGGACCUGCACAAAUCCCUAAAAUGUCAGAU